rnacentral:sRNA from 1 species
ACACCCAAGGACAUACAUUUUGUUUUUAAAUUUCAGUGUACCCUGUAGAUAUAAGCUGUACAUUCAGAAUGGACAAGAGUAUCUUUCCCUUUGCCUACAGAACACAUUCUCAUGGAUUAGGUCGAGUCAUCACUGGUUACCAACACAAUGGUUCUUAUCAUAAGAUUGGCAAAGGAAAUCCACAAUGGCCACAAGCUUUUUACCCAGUGAAAGAUAUUAUUGAAGUCAAACCUGGAGAUGCUUUGGU